ACUAUAUAUAUGUGUGUGCAUGUUCAUUUUAGGCCAUGAUGCCAUUGUUACUCUGCUGAAACACUACAAACCACCUCAGGAUGGUUCACCCUGCAAUGAAUAUUCUCAACCAGGAGGGGAUGGAUCUUAUGUUUCUGUUCCUUCUCCCCUGGGAAAGAUCAAAAGUAUGACUAAAGAGAAGGCAGAUGUGCUUCUCCCUGAGAGCAAGUCUUCCAUCAAAUUUCCACCUUCAACUUUCUGAACUGGAGUUUAAGGAGAUUAUUGGAUCAGAUAUGUCAAUUCAAUGAUAAAUAUUAG